CUUUUCAAUAGCCUUUCGUCAAAUGGUUCUGUGUAAUUUCUCAGGAUUAAUUUUUCCCCGCAAUUACUGUCUUCUUGGUUUUCUAAAUAACAAGAAGAGCUUCAAUAUGUUCUUUUUCACAUGCUUUCUGUUGUUACAAGGGUUGCCAGACAGAGAUGAAAACAGUACAAUCGAUCCACAACAAUGGCCACAACACGUUUUAAAAUAUUAUUUAAUAACAUCUUAAAUAUCAGCAACAUGAGAGAUGUUUCUCAAAUCUUAGUCCAGAAAUACACUGCAAUCACAUUACAUGAGCUCAUGCUAUCACAUGAACUUAUGUCACCGGUUUUAUUUUCCAAAAAAUUACUU
rnacentral:lncRNA from 1 species